UGUAUGGUUUCGCUAUAGUAUUGCAUACAUUAUGUAAAUUUCAGUUUAGCAAAAUAAUACGCUGUUGUAAAAUUAACCUAACCAAGAAUUACUAAUACAUGGUUCUUUUUUGGUCUCAUCGGAGUUCAAGAACUCAUUCUCUCGUGCCUGGUCGCAUGAAAAUAGUUCUGUAAACUAUUGGUUUGAUAAUCUAUUGAUUCAAUUACAGAUAAACUGAUUGAACAGAUUGCGCUCC